GCAAUCGCCCUUGGGUGCACCAGGCGCGAAAACUUUACAAUGCUGGCAACAGCGAUAAGGGGACCUUGAGUGCCAGGAUACAAUCCUGGCUGUCGUGAUGCCUAAAAAGCAUUAUAUAGCAAGGGCCGGGCAAGACCGGUGCCAGCCGCCGCGGUAACACCGGCGGCUCGAGUGGUAACCGCUAUUAUUGGGUCUAAAGGGUCUGUAGCCGGCUUGGUUAGUCUCUUGGGAAAUCCGGCAGCUUAACUGUCGGGCUUUCAGGAGAUACUGCCAGGCUCGAGACCGGGAGAGGUGAGAGGUACUUCAUGGGUAGGGGUGAAAUCUUGUAAUCCUUGAAGGACCACCAGUGGCGAAGGCGUCUCACCAGAACGGAUCUGACGGCAAGGGACGAAAGCUAGGGGCACGAACCGGAUUAGAUACCCGGGUAGUCCUAGCCGUAAACGAUACUCGCUAGGUGUCGGCCACGGUGCGACCGUGGUCGGUGCCGUAGGGAAGCCGUGAAGCGAGCCACCUGGGAAGUACGGCCGCAAGGCUGAAACUUAAAGGAAUUGGCGGGGGAGCAC
rnacentral:rRNA from 1 species